rnacentral:rRNA from 1 species
CACGUAGGGGGGCGAGCGUUGUCCGGAUUUAUUGGGCGUAAAGAGCUCGUAGGCGGCUCGGUAAGUCGGGUGUGAAAUUUCGAGGCUUAACCUCGAAACGCCACCCGAUACUGCUGUGGCUAGAGUCCGGUAGGGGAGCGUGGAAUUCCUGGUGUAGCGGUGAAAUGCGCAGAUAUCAGGAGGAACACCAGCGGCGAAGGCGGCGCUCUGGGCCGGUACUGACGCUGAGGUGCGAAAGCGUGGGGAGCAAACAGG